rnacentral:tRNA from 1 species
UUGUUUGUGCCGGAAAAAACGGAUUACAUUGAUGUUGUAAAAAAUGAGGAAACUCCAAGCAAU